AUGCAAAACCUUGCUCCAGACCUGGGAUGUGGGAAGAACCUCCAUCGUGGGGUGAGGGGGGCAGAUCUCAGGUGUGCGGGUGGGGCAUCUACAGCCAGGGUGGUUAUGGAAGCCCUCGGCCUGGUCACUCCUCUCCCUGCAUGGGCACACACCCCGCCCCGACUCAGCUCUCUGGGCCCCUCUAUGGGUGCCUCUAAGGGAGGCCCUGGCAGGGGGCAUCCUCCAUGCCAGCUGGGGUCACUGGGCAGAGUUCACACAGGGUGUCACAGAUGGGGCCGCUGCAGCCCAAAAGCAGCAGGUGUCACGGCUUCCGCUUCGGCAGUGACCAGGCAGGGCAGCCUGCUGUCCUGGGCGCAAGUGGCAGGCCGGGCUAGUUCAGAGCUGGGGACACAGAGCCCUGUGGCAUCAGGGAUGGUUCUGGGCAUUCGCAGUGGACAAGGGAAGAAGCUGGGACUCGAACCCUGGCUCGCCAGUGCCGAGGGGCCAUGCCCUUCACCCCUACACCACACGCUGAGGCUAAGCAGGGGCCUGGCAGACAGAGGUCCCGAACUCAAAGGCCCUCUAGGCUGGAAGGGACCCUGCUUACUCACGUCACGGACGGGGAAGUGGCAGGAGCCCCCUUCCCCACCACCGCGACCCACGAGCUCGGAGUUCUGGGUUCAGGGAGGAGGGCGGGAGUGGCCCGGACCACUGUGUCCUGAGCACCUGCUAGAUGUGUUGUCACCACGCAUGUACACACAUGCACACACACGCAAAUGCAUGCACAGUGCACACACAUGUUCAAAUGCACACGCAUACUGUGCACACGCACAUUCAAAUGCAUGCAAACGCUGCACACACACACACAAGUACCAGCAUCGCAUUUUUCUCCAAGGAUCCCUUCCCUGGAUCUGUCCUGAGCAUCCGCUCCGCUCCCACAGCUGGGCUGACAGCAGAGGCCAGGCUGGGAGGACGGGGAGCCGAGGCAGGGAGCCGGCGGCGGGAGUCCCGCCGUGGGCCCGCAGGUGA
rnacentral:lncRNA from 1 species